rnacentral:rRNA from 1 species
AGUGAACGCUGGCGGUAGGCCUAACACAUGCAAGUCGAACGGCAGCACAGUAAGAGCUUGCUCUUACGGGUGGCGAGUGGCGGACGGGUGAGGAAUACAUCGGAAUCUACUUUUUCGUGGGGGAUAACGUAGGGAAACUUACGCUAAUACCGCAUACGACCUACGGGUGAAAGCAGGGGAUCUUCGGACCUUGCGCGAUUGAAUGAGCCGAUGUCGGAUUAGCUAGUUGGUGGGGUAAAGGCCCACCAAGGCGACGAUCCGUAGCUGGUCUGAGAGGAUGAUCAGCCACACUGGAACUGAGACACGGUCCAGACUCCUACGGGAGGCAGCAGUGGGGAAUAUUGGACAAUGGGCGCAAGCCUGAUCCAGCCAUACCGCGUGGGUGAAGAAGGCCUUCGGGUUGUAAAGCCCUUUUGUUGGGAAAGAAAAGCAGCAGGUUAAUACCCCGCUGUUCUGACGGGACCCAAAGAAUAAGCACCGGCUAACUUCGUG